rnacentral:rRNA from 1 species
AACGAACGCUGGCGGCAGGCCUAACACAUGCAAGUCGAACGGGAUCUUCGGAUCUAGUGGCGGACGGGUGAGUAACGCGUGGGAACGUGCCCUUUGGUUCGGAAUAGCCCCGGGAAACUGGGAGUAAUACCGGAUGAGCCCUUCGGGGGAAAGAUUUAUCGCCAAAGGAUCGGCCCGCGUUGGAUUAGGUAGUUGGUGGGGUAAUGGCCUACCAAGCCGACGAUCCAUAGCUGGUUUGAGAGGAUGAUCAGCCACACUGGGACUGAGACACGGCCCAGACUCCUACGGGAGGCAGCAGUGGGGAAUCUUAGGCAAUGGGGGAAACCCUGAUCUAGCCAUGCCGCGUGAGCGAUGAAGGCCUUAGGGUUGUAAAGCUCUUUCGUGGGGGAAGAUAAUGACUGUACCCCAAGAAGAAGCCCCGGCUAACUCCGUGCCAGCCGCCGCGGUAAUAC